GCAGGCCCAAGUCUUCGUGAGCCAACCCCCCCCCUUCUUCCCCAAUUAUUCGUGAAUCGUCCUUCAUCGCUACCAAGGGAAACCCUAGCCCUUCAUCACUGCCGCCGUUCCCAGGUUCAGAGCGCCGCCGCCGUCCCCAGGUCGUCAGCGCCGCUGCUUCUUCCUCUCCCCCGUGUCCCGAACCCAGUAGCGCGGCACGUCGUCUUCAUCUUCACAUGCUUCUCGGCACGGAAUCCAGGUUAGUGGCUUCUCGUUUUCAUCUUCACUGAUUAUUCGGUCUUCUUCUUGAUUUGAACUUUUAAGUUCUGAAAUUGUUGUUUUUUGGUCUUCUUCUUCGAUCUUCUUCUUCAAUUUUUGUUCCAUUUUUAGUGUGACUGUUUUCAAUUUUUGGUCUUCUUCUUCGGUCUUCUUCUUUACUGAUGGCUUGUUCUCUCUGUUAAUUUGUUACUCUGUUUUAGUUUGACUAUUUUCUAAUUGCUCAAUGGCUCGAUUGCUCUGUUAGUUUACUGAUGGCUCUGUUAGUUUGUUACUCUGGUUUACUAGUUGCUGAUGGCUCCUAAUUUUUUUGUUCAAAUUUGCUAACGGCUUUGUUUUGUAGUUGCUGAUUUUGCUGGGUGAAGAAUUAGUGUUUUGGAAUGUUUCAUAAUGUGCUAAAUGCUUAAUGGUGUAGGCAGAUUUUAGUGUUUUGUAGUUGCUAGUUUUGCUGGUUUUGGAAUGCUGAAGGCUGGUUUUUGCUGAAAUGUUUUGGCCAUUAUAGCUUCUUUGAUCAACUUCUGCUGAGAAUAUGCUAUACACAGGUCUAUGAUCAGAGAAUCAUGACUCCCCACGAACAUAAGAUAAUUGGUGAUGGUGGUAAGAACUAAGAACACUACUAUGCUGGAGUUCUCUUUUAUUUUGAAUGUCUUCCAUCUCCUGCAUACCUGCCUGAGUUAUAAGGAAAACACAACUUCGGACAUUUCAUUCAACAUGUGAGUGAUACAAUUACUGUUUGCUAGACAACAGGAGCAAUUAAAGUCUAUGCAAAGAACUCUUGAAUUAAUUUAGGAGUGAUUAAUGAUUAUUUCUAGUUGUAUUGCUGUUUGCACCAUUGCUCUUUUCACCAUUUAAUUUUGUAUUUUGAUAAGAUCAUAUGGAUUUGGUUGACAUUUCAUAUAAUGUUUUAAAUUUAGAAGAUAUUUAAGAUUUAUAUUAGACUAUAAUUAUGUUU